rnacentral:rRNA from 1 species
UACGAAGGGGGCUAGCGUUGUUCGGAUUCACUGGGCGUAAAGGGUGCGUAGGCGGGUCUUUAAGUCAGGGGUGAAAUCCUGGAGCUCAACUCCAGAACUGCCUUUGAUACUGGAGAGCUUGAGUCCGGAAGAGGUGAGUGGAACUCCGAGUGUAGAGGUGAAAUUCGUAGAUAUUCGGAAGAACACCAGUGGCGAAGGCGGCUCACUGGUCCGGUACUGACGCUGAUGUGCGAAAGCGUGGGGAGCAAACAGG